CUUCCGCCGGCGACCGGCGCACGGGUGAGUAACACGUAUGCAACCUGCCCCUGUCAGGGGGACAACCCGCCGAGAGGCGGGCUAAACCCGCGUACAUGCCACCGGGGCAUCCCGGAGGCAGGAAAGGCUUCGGCCGGACAGGGAUGGGCAUGCGGCGCAUUAGGCAGUAGGCGGGGUAACGGCCCACCUAACCGACGAUGCGUAGGGGUUCUGAGAGGAAGGUCCCCCACACUGGUACUGAGACACGGACCAGACUCCUACGGGAGGCAGCAG
rnacentral:rRNA from 1 species